rnacentral:misc_RNA from 1 species
CUUCAGCUUCUCACUCUGGCUACCAUGGAACACAAAAGCCAGAGAGACCUUGCAACUUCAUCGCCAAAUCUUGUCCUGUACUCCUAUUGGCAGAGUUCCUGCGCAUGGCGUGUCCGCUUUGCUCUAAACCUGAAAGGGCUUUCUUAUGAGUACAAAGCAGUGAACCUUGCAAAAGGAGAGCAGUUUUCUCCAGAGUUUGAACGAUUAAAUCCUCUUCAUUUUGUUCCGGUGUUGGUUGAUGGUGAUGUGGUGGUCUCAGACUCUUAUGCGAUAUUGCUGUAUUUGGAAGAAAAGUAUCCUCAAAAAGCAUUGUUGCCAGAUGAUCCUCAGCGAAGAGCUUUGAAUCUGCAGGCUGCCAGCAUCAUCAGCUCUAGCAUACAACCUCUUCAUAUGUUGUCAAUGCUGAAAUACUUUGAAGAAAAAAUGGGUCCUGACGAGGCAUUAUUAUGGGGUCAAUCUUGUGUAGAAAAAGGUUUCCUUGCUCUUGAGAGGUUGCUGAAAGAUUUUGCAGGCAGAUAUGCCACAGGAGAAGCAGUAUUUAUGGCUGAUGUGUUUCUGGCCCCACAAAUAGCUGUGGCUUUAAUGAGGUUCAAAAUUGAUAUGUCCAAGUUCCCAACUUUAGGUAGGAUAUAUGAAUCAUGCAAGGGCUUACCUGAGUUCGUAGGUUCACUCCCACAAUCACAACCUGAUGCAGAGCAGUAAGUUUGGUUUUCACCUUAUUUACUGUUCCAUUAACGCUGCACAAUUGCAAAUGACAGCAAACAUUGUAAUACUAUUCAGCAUCCAAGAAUUGGGUUUGAAUAAUGAUAAAAUUUGCUUGGAUUUACAUUUCUCAUUCGAUGUAAUGGCUGAAAAAUUCUAUGGUAAGGAUAUGUGCAUUAAUCAUUUCUCUCGG